rnacentral:lncRNA from 1 species
UUUGCAUAUCGAAUCCUUUUGAAAUUUGACAAGUAGCUUGGGCUGUUCAGAGGGAAGAAGCUAUCAAAGUCCAAAGCAAUAUUCUGGCAGCUAAAAUAGGCUGCAGUGACCUCACAAUGGCGUUUUAGCAAUGGCCCUGCAGGAGGCAUUCAGUAAUGGGCUACUUGGGCUAGACCCUCUCAGCUAAAGGCUAGGCCUAGUCUAGUAAAAAAUGCAAAAGGAAAUAGAGGCAAUUUUCCAAGUAAUUCAGGAGAAAAGCACUUUCAUCUCAACUCUCAAGGUACAGUAAUUGGCACAAACCUUUGGGCCCUGGCAGUGGAGACCAGGCCAUUGGAACCAAGGUGGAGUCAGUCAUGCAGGAAACGUGGAGUGCGGGCUGGGAGUGGAAAGGAAAUCAUGAGGAGGAAGGCACAUUCUUGUUUCUCCUAAGAUCUGGAUGGGGCUCCACCCACUGCAUGGAUUUGCCCCUCUUCCAGUUGCAUAUGACCAACUCAACGCUCCAGUUUUGCUGAAAGAACAUAUCUAGUUAUUUUAAUUCAUACAGCAUCUUUCCAGUCAUUACUUUCUUCACUUUAAAGUCAGCAAUGGAGUUAUUUCUGAACCUAGAGAGCAGUGAGCAUGCAAAGUCAGAGAGGAGGGCAAACAACUCACAGCAAUCAUAAUAAAAACUCUGCAGGAAAACGGCAUCCUCCCCGGGCUGCCAACCAGAAUUACAUCAAACAAUUUUAAAGGAACUAGGAAUUUAUUGUCAUCAGUCUUCCCUCCCUGUGUGUCUCUGGCAAGAUGUUUACUUAUGGCUCAGCCUGAGUAAUUGCACCAAUUCAUUAAAAAUGAAUAAAUAAAACCCCUCCUUGGUGACUGCUUUAUCAUUCUGAAACCCAGCCUCCAGGAAUAAUUUUGCCAAGUUGAACACGGGCAGAAAAGGGAGGUGCUGAUACAGUGCCCAGCUCCUGGCUCUGUCUUUUCUGGGAUAUACACACUCAGUCACUUCAGAUAAAUCAUAAGGAAUUGUACUUUAACCAGUGAGUAGCAUGUUGUAUGGGGAAAAGUAUGGAUUUUGGACACAAAGAGAAGGAUGCUAAAAAAAAUGACUUCAAUUACUGUGUGAUUUUUGAUAAAUUAUCCAACCUCUCUGAAUUUGAGUUUCUUUACCUACAUAAUGGCUGUUGAUGAGUAUUACUUAGUUAACACAAGGGAAGCACCUAUCACAGGGCUAGAGAAAAUAUUUGUUCUUAGUAAAUGUACCUUCCUUCACAUUAGUAAAUAUAUCUCUUUCCCUUUCCUCUUGUUUUCUAGGGCUUGCUACGUAGGCCAGAACUACACCAACACGCUUUGAUGCUGAAGCAGAAUUUGGUACAAGGUGGCUGUAAGUCAGAUCUCCUGCUAAUUGUGUGAAACUGUUUAUGUUGAUUCAUCUAAGCAGCUGGUCUUUUGAGAGAGAUGCAACAGACCAAAGAACAAAGACAGAAGCUUGAGAAGCCAUGUUAGGACUUGUUGCACAGCAUGGUGACUGCUAUGGAACAUUGGUAUGGAGUUUCAGGAGAAAUAAGGGUGAUAGGAUCCAGCUCCCCCCAGCAGAGUUCUUGGAUGUCAAGUCCUGAUAAAUCCCCGCCGCCUCCUGGGUCCAAGCUCGGGUACCACUAACUUGUCCCAAGAGAGUGGGGAGUGAGACCUGUAAGUCAACUAAUAUAAGAUCUCUCAGGAUUUUCUAGCAAUACAACCAUGUGAUCUCUGAAUAAAGACAGUGUGUGUGUGUAUACUGCAUAUA